GUUUUUCAGAAGAAGUAAAUUCUUUAUCAUUUCCUGUCCUAAAAAUCCCUCAUCAGGUAGUGACUCAUUGGUUUUGGCUAGAUUAAACACACCCUAAAUUCUUGUUUGAAAUAAAUAGGGCUUGUACACGAGUAGAAUAAAGAGAUAAUGUAGGCUUUGCAAGAAAGCAGUCGUUUUAUUGGUGUUUUGUUUAGUUCUCUGAAUAACCACCCACAUAUUGCCAUUGUUUUAUUCCUGGGCUUCAUCUGCCAGAUGAAGCACUUCCCACAUUUAUUUUCAGGUCCUGAGAGAGGCAAAUAUGUCAGGAAUUUAAAUGAAUCCAACAGCAGCACCAGAUGGAGCUUGGUAUUGGGCAGGCUGGAGCUUGGUAUUGGGAAAGCUGGAAGGGGGGCAGGGAGGAGAAGGAGAUAGAGAAGAAAAAAAAAAUGUGGUUAUUAAAUAUUAUCAACAGCAAGAUUUUCAUGAGUGUCUGCUUGUCCCAAGCUGCAAUAGAAGGUGUUAAAGGGGGCUGUGGGUGUGAUUUGAAACAGAGACCAAUUAGUCAUGUUAUGUCCUUUAACUGAAAACCUGCUGGAUUUGCUGUCUGCCCCAAGAUUCUCCCUCUUUGCAAAGUGUUCUUCCACAAAUUCUUCCAGGAAAGCCCAAGGUGUACCAAGGUGUGAGGGUGAAGAUCACAGUCAAGGAGUUGCUGCAGCAGAGGAGAGCACGACAAGCAGCCACCAGUUCAGCAGUUUCCUGGGGCAGCAGCAGCAGCAGCAUCCAGUUUGCAGAGUCUGUGUCUCCGCCUCACCCAGGUUGGUACAAAUCCCAUCCACACGACCUUUCCUGCCCCAUUCCCAAAUUUUCCCACAGCCCCGAGCAUUCGCAGCCCUUGUUUGA
rnacentral:lncRNA from 1 species